GCCCGCCUAGCUCAAUCGGAUAGAGCGUCAGACUUUUACGGCGGGCGUUUGUCCGUAAUUGUUAUCUGAAGGCUGCGAGUUCGACCCUCGCGGUGGGCU